CCGAAAGUGUUUUGUUGCUGUGACUGACUCGCCUACAGAAAAUAUGUACAUACCACAUAAGUAUACGUCAAUGUCUGUAAUAAUGGUAGAUCAAAUGUUUCAUCUGUGUGAAACUUUUUGCUAAUCGAAAUGUUAAAUCAACGUAAACAAAGUUGUUGAUUGAUACAUCGUAAUGUCCGCGUGUUGCAUGCUGCGAGAUUAAAUACUGUUUAUACAGUCAUUGAGAGGCUAAACAAGGUUUCUUGCAAGAAGAGGAAGUUGGUGGAUGCAUUCAACUUGGACAACGAAAUCAUAGUUUCGUUUGGCAUCAGCCUGAAGACCGAGGGAGGUUAGAUAGGACCAGUGCAGGUUGAAGUGGAUUUCGAGUCAACAAGUAUAACAGCAAGAGAGGUACUCCAUUUACAGUGAUGAUGACAUAUCCCCUGGACCCCCACAACUCCACAAAUUUAAAAAUGUUUGAUCAAGUUCCGAAGAUUAAAGAACUACUUCAAAAUUUGGGACUGGAUGAAAAACAUUAAUUCACUUAUAUGAGCUCAGAGCAGUGGAUGUUGUACAACAUACUUUAAACUAAAUUGUGAAUUUAAGGGAAAACAAGUACAUGUACUCGUAUAUUACAUGUACAUGCCUUUUGAAAGACAAUAAUAUUGCAUAGAUGUAAAGGAAAUUUCAAUGUUGAUUAUUCUUUCUUAGAUAUAUUAGUCAAAAAUGUGCACAUGAUAGAAUAUCAAUUUUAUAACUUCAAUCAAUGUGUUUGAAUUUUCCUUGUAAUUCAAAAUUUAGUUGAAACAUACAUCAUUGAUACAUUAAUGUAUAUCAAAUGGAACUACCCCCCCCCCCCUUAUACAUACAGUGAACAUAGACCUUCACCUGGGGAAAACUUCAGUUAGUUAAUGCAAUAUACAUGUACAUGCAUUCUCAGUUAUCCAAUAGUGAGUUUUUGGUUCCAUGUGAAACUACGAUUAGAACUCUUAAACUUAUGAAAGACACACCUAUCUGUGAGGGCAAGAUGACUCGGAUGGACUUACAUGUAGUGAUCCAUGGGCAGUCCAUGGGUCUCUUUCCAUUGAUAUUAAUUAUUUAUUGAAAUAUGAAAUGGUUAUUUAAACAUAUUUGGUGUAUUAUACUGUAUAGUGAUAUAAAUUUCUAUCAAAAAAUAUGUAUAGGUAAUAGAUUUGGUCCACUUAUUACAAGAAAUUGUAUGAAAAAUAACUAAAUAUUAAGGCAAUCAUUGUGAGUGCGAAAAGGUCAACUGCAAUAGCACACACUAUAUAUCAUUCUUAAAUGGCUCAUAGAAACUUCUAGUAUUGUGAGUUUGAAUGCUCAAUAUGGUAAUUUGGGAAUGCUUAAUCAUUUAAGGUCAAUAGUUUAUAUCUGCUGACUGUAUCUCUUAAAAUUCAUUUCUAGAAGGGAGGGGGUAGGGUUACAAAAUCUGACAUAGUUUCAGAUUAAACCUCAUUUGGUAUAUAUUUUUCUAUUCAAUAUUUUAGAUACUACUUGACUUACUGUAAAAAUGAAAUAAAAUCAGAAAUU